CUACGGGUGGCUCCAGUGAGGAAUAUUGGUCAAUGGGCGAGAGCCUGAACCAGCCAAGUCGCGUGCAGGAAGACUGCCCUAUGGGUUGUAAACUGCUUUUGUAUGGGAGUAAAGGACGCUACGUGUAGUGUUUUGCAAGUAUCAUACGAAUAAGGAUCGGCUAACUCCGUGCCAGCAGCCGCGGUAAUACGGAGGAUUCGAGCGUUAUCCGGAUUUAUUGGGUUUAAAGGGUGCGUAGGCGGGUGAUUAAGUCAGUGGUGAAAGUUUGCAGCUCAACUGUAAAAUUGCCAUUGAAACUGAUUAUCUUGAGUACAAAUGAGGUAGGCGGAAUGUGUUGUGUAGCGGUGAAAUGCAUAGAUAUAACACAGAACACCGAUUGCGAAGGCAGCUUACUGGGAUGUAACUGACGCUGAGGCACGAAAGCGUGGGGAUCAAACAGGAUUAGAUACCCGUGUAGUC
rnacentral:rRNA from 1 species